rnacentral:lncRNA from 1 species
GCUUUAGGCCGUCUUCGGUACUUGCCCAUCUAGGGUUCAUGUGGGGAGGGGAAAGGCAUUUGCUUUUCUUUAACCGAACGAAUCCUUGCCUAGCGGCUCAUGAUACCAAUGUUGAAGCCGUAGAUCGACUAGGCAUAGAUAGAUCCGGUGAAACCUUUUACUCACCUAGUCCCGAGCCCGAGGAACUCCCUGCUUCGCCAUCAGUGCCGCUGUAGUCGUCGAUGGCGCGAGGGAAGAGGUGUGGUCGUGGGUGGUGCUUCCCGUGAGCACCGCGCUAACCCUAGAUCGGAAGGGGAUUUAGGUGAGGAGUCUGGCGA